UCCCUGGUGGUCUAGUGGUAAGGACUUGGCGCUUUCACUGCUAAAGCCCGGGUUCAGUCCCUGGUCUGGGAA
rnacentral:tRNA from 1 species